GUGAAUCAUCAAAUCUUUGAACGCAAAUUGCACUCUCUGGUAUUCCGGAGAGUAUGCCUGUUUGAGGGUCAGUUUAAAUAAAAAUCGGUGUGGUUGCUGCCUUUCGUGGUGACGCACGGGAUUUGGGUCGUCUUGCCUUCGGUUAGGUAACCUAAAAUUUGGCAUGAUUUUUUUCGACCGUAUUUAAAUGGUUUUAGUUACGUUUCCGAUAUG
rnacentral:misc_RNA from 1 species